rnacentral:piRNA from 2 species
UGAUGUGUUGUUGCCAUGGUAAUCCUGCUC